UACGAAGGGGGGCUAGCGUUAUCCGGAUUCACUGGGUUUAAAGGGUGCGUAGGUGGCUUUGUAAGUCAGUGGUGAAAGCCCGGAGCUCAACUCCGGAACUGCCAUUGAUACUGCUUAGCUUGAAUCACGUCGAGGUGGAUGGAAUAAUACAUGUAGCGGUGAAAUGCUUAGAUAUGUAUUAGAACACCGAUUGCGAAGGCAGUUCACUAGGCGUGUAUUGACACUGAGGCACGAAAGCGUGGGGAUCAAACAGG
rnacentral:rRNA from 1 species